CCUCUCAACUUUUACCCCUUAAAUCAACUACGAUCAUUCCAUUUUCACUUCUGAAAGGCUCUCUUCCUGAAAGGCUAAACAGCGUUGUCACCUCUUCUAGGAAAACUCUUUCCCUUACUUCUCAUGACACGGAAUUACGGAAGGUCAACUUCCCUCUCUUCAGUAAGAGAUAGAACUCUCUCCGGACCCUGUUGCGUGUGAGGAAAACUCCCAGUUUAAACAAAAUUACUGGAUUUGGAGCAAAUACAUGGAAGUAUUCUCUCCAGAAAAAAUGUGUGUUUUAGAGCAUUCCCUGGGAGCAUACAGAUAUUUGAGGGAAGAAAGAGAAGAAACAGCCAGCAGGAAAAGUCUCUAGCAGCACAAGGGACGACCUGUGCCAACUCGACCAACACUGAGUGAAACAGUCAACAAACUUGUACUGCCCAUCAAGGGAAAUGCUGCGAACAAAAAACAAACAAACAAA